GUCUUUUUGUAUUUAAUUUAAAGUCUAACCUGCCCACUGAAAAUUUUAAAUGGCCGCAGUAUUUUAACUGUGCAAAGGUAGCAUAAUCAUUAGUCUUUUAAUUGAAGGCUGGAAUGAAUGGUUGGACGAAAUAUUAACUGUUUCAUUUAAAUUUUUUGUAAAAUUUUAUUUUUUAGUCAAAAAGCUAAAAUAAAUUUAAAAGACGAGAAGACCCUAUAAAUCUUUAUAUUUUAUUUAUUUUAAUUAUAAAGAUUAUUUUUAUUAUUAUAAAUUAAAAUAUUUUAUUGGGGUGAUAUUAAAAUUUAAAAAACUUUUAAUUUUUAAAACCAUUAAUUUAUGAAUAAUUGAUCCAUUAAUAAUGAUUAAAAAAUUAAGUUACUUUAGGGAUAACAGCGUAAUUUUUUUGGAGAGUUCAUAUCGAUAAAAAAGAUUGCGACCUCGAUGUUGGAUUAAGAUAUAAUUUUGGAUGUAGUCGUUCAAAUUUUAAGUCUGUUCGACUUUUAAAUUCUU
rnacentral:rRNA from 1 species